AGAGCGAACGCUGGCGGCAUGCUUAACACAUGCAAGUCGCACGGGCACUUCGGUGUCAGUGGCGGACGGGUGAGUAACGCGUAGGUAUCUAUCCUUGGGUGGGGGACAACUGUGGGAAACUACAGCUAAUACCGCAUGAUAACUGAGGUUUAAAGGCGCAAGUCGCCUGAGGAGGAGCCUGCGUACGAUUAGCUAGUUGGUGGGGUAAAGGCCUACCAAGGCGACGAUCGUUAGCUGGUCUGAGAGGAUGAUCAGCCACAUUGGGACUGAGACACGGCCCAAACUCCUACGGGAGGCAGCAGUGGGGAAUUUUGCGCAAUGGGGGAAACCCUGACGCAGCAACGCCGCGUGGAGGAUGAAGCCCCUUGGGGUGUAAACCCCUUUCAGCAGGGACGAAGCGAGAGUGACGGUACCUGCAGAAGAAGCGCCGGCUAACUACGUGCCAGCAGCC
rnacentral:rRNA from 1 species